rnacentral:lncRNA from 1 species
UUCGCCCCCCAUCUAUCUGGUUGACUUCGCCGUGGGCAACGAGAGCCUAGCCUACCUUUUUCAGGAGGCUAUGGCGCCUCGGUCGGAGCCGAGAUCCGUGGGCAGCGGGGACGAGUUAUACUACUGUACCACCCUCUCCCUGGCUUGUCUGACGAUGCUGUGGCUGUGGAUUUCGGGACACCGGACUCGAGCGCGACCGGCCCAGCCUCUCACUUAGAUCUACCCAAUUGUUACUGUAACCUACCUUAUUUGUGUUCACUUGUUUGAUCAUGUUGAUUACGAUACGAGGGUCCAACGAUGGCGGGUUACUUGCUUGCCCUGGGAUCAGAUCGUUCGGGACCUUUCUUCUGCCUCUUCUCAUAAUUGGAUUUGAGGACUAUCAUUUUUUCUUCCACUUUUUAUGUUCGUGUGCCUAAGCCUCAGGAUCUAUUACGAUUUGGGUCGUGCAUGCUUAUCUAAGGCCUCGUUUAGUUGGCAAAAUUUUUUGUUUUUGGUACUGUAGCAUUUCGUUUUUAUUUGACAAACAUUGUCCAAUUACGGAGUAACUAGGCUCAAAAGAUUCAUCUCACAAAUUACAGGUAAACUGUGCAGUUAGUUUUUAUUUUUGUCUAUAUUUAAUGCUCCAUGCAUGCGACUAAAGAUUCGAUGUGACGGAGAAUCUUGAAAAUUUUUGUGAACUAAACAAGGCCUAAAGCUCCACUAACUAGACCUCGUAACUUUUUAUUUUUUUAUUCAGGAUUUUCCAUGUUUUGAUAUGCUAAUUAACCAUAUCGGCCGUGCCGAUGUAUUGGGUCACUGAAUGUGGCCUUUUGCAAAUAAGACGUUCCUCGCAUCCAUGCUCUUUGAAUACUAACAAGUUCUGACUAGCUACAUGUGUUUGUCUGAAAGUCUGUCUAUAUUUGAUUUGGUAGUCAAUGGUUGACAAGAUUAUGUUUGUUUUCUAUAACAUAACUUGUUAUGCUAACGUGUUAAAUGGUAUUCCAAGCUAAUUAAAACAGAAAUAAAAAGUUUCUGUUAUGGGAGUUAGAUGUUUUUUUUUGGAUUAUAGAGCAUGCAAACUUCCUAUCAGCUCAAUCAGUGUAUUAUUGAUGUCAUAUGAAAUUCCUUGUACUGAAUUUCUCUCUGGUAUGCAUAGCGUGCAAUGUCAUAUAAGUCCGAAAUCACACUUGUUUGACACAACAUUCCCCCUUGCAGUAAU